AGGAAAACUUACAGCCUCCAUCACUCUUCAGGAGAGUGGCAGUCAAGGAGUAAGACUCAAGGAAAGGUCAGUGCUUGGUUGAGAGCCUAAAUCUUUACCUUGGGUUGCAAGUGAACAUUUGGGAAGAGCCCAUGGCCUGGAGAGAGAGCUAGUGGCCAGGAAGAGCAAACAAAUGGAUUGCCACUGCCACCUGCCACAUUGGGCUGCCACUGGCAGAGCUGCUGAGUCUGCAGGUGCAGUGAUUAUGCUGUGAAAGAUUCAAAUAGGACAACCCUAUGUAGCAGUGGCCAGGGGGCAGGCUUUGAAGAACAAGCUGCCAUGAAUCCUGCAGCUACAAGGAAAUGAACUCUAUUAACUUGAGUGAGCUUAAAACUAGAUCCUUCCCCAGUCAAGCCUCCAGGUGAGAAUUCAAUCCUGGCUGGCACCUGGAUUGCAGCUUACAGAAGACCCAGCUAAGGCCAUGUCUGGACUUUAAAUCCACAGGAACUGCAAGAUGGUAUCAGAAGUGGGACCUGCAGUGGGGCAUCUAGCAACCCCCAGGAGCAUUGAGUGACCAGGCUUGGGACCCACCGGGCGCAGGGUGUCCAUUGUUCUCUCGAAGCAACUGAGAAUUGUGGAUAUUCUUCAUUAUUCCAUCAUCAUCUCAAACCUCUUGGGUAUAGUGUUUGACUACUACUGUGACCAUAAAUUCCAAUAAAACCUAGGAAAAAUGAAACCACUACAUUAACUGAAAGGGAAGGAUUUGACAGCUUCUUUUGGGCAUAUCAGAAUCGCCAGCAUCACUACUCUUGCACUGUGCGGCCAUUAUUAAGUGAAAUAAGGAUUACUUGAACACAAGCACUGCAAUGCCGCUACAGUCAAUGUGAUAACCCAGCUGGUGACUAAGUGACCAAGGACGGGGAGUAUCUACAGCGGGGAGACUCUGGAAAAAGGGAGGAUUCACAUCCAGUGCCACUGGGGCAGGGCAGAAUGAGAGUUCAUCAUGCUACAAAGAAUGGCACAGAAUAUACGACUUGUGAGUGGAUUAUCUCUGGAAUUUUCUGUUGACUACAUUUGUACUACAGUUGUAUGUGGGUAACAAACUGUGGAAAGUGAAACUUCGGGUAAGGGGGAGGCUACCGUAGAUAGCCCAGUAUUUCUUAUUUUGUGGAUUUGUUUAUCUUUCUGCUCACAUCCUUUUCCUUCUGCAUUACCAUUUUAGUAAAAAUAGAUAGCAUCCAUUU
rnacentral:lncRNA from 1 species